rnacentral:rRNA from 1 species
UACGGGGGGGGCAAGCGUUGUUCGGAAUUACUGGGCGUAAAGGGCUCGUAGGUGGCCAACUAAGUCAGACGUGAAAUCCCUCGGCUUAACUGGGGAACUGCGUCCGAUACUGGAUGGCUUGAGUUUGGGAGAGGGAUGCGGAAUUCCAGGUGUAGCGGUGAAAUGCGUAGAUAUCUGGAGGAACACCGGUGGCGAAGGCGGCAUCCUGGACCAACACUGACACUGAGGAGCGAAAGCCAGGGGAGCAAACGGG